CAGGAUGGGCAACGACAAUGUGGUUUCUGAUCAAAGGAUCCUUCUGGUUUGGCCUUGUGCUCGUGCUUCUUUCCGUCUUCAGCACGGA
rnacentral:sRNA from 18 species